UUUGCGCUAAUACCGCAUAUUCUGUGAGCAGGAAAGCAGGGGACCGCAAGGCCUUGCGCUCUUUGAGCGGCCGAUGUCAGAUUAGCUAGUUGGUGAGGUAACGGCUUACCAAGGCGACGAUCUGUAGCGGGUCUGAGAGGAUGAUCCGCCACACUGGAACUGAGACACGGUCCAGACUCCUACGGGAGGCAGCAGUGGGGAAUUUUGGACAAUGGGGGCAACCCUGAUCCAGCCAUGCCGCGUGAGUGAAGAAGGCCUUCGGGUUGUAAAGCUCUUUCAGCCGGGAAGAAAUCGCAUGGGCCAAUACCCUGUGUGGAUGACGGUACCGGAAUAAGAAGCACCGGCUAACUACGUGCCAGCAGCCGCGGUAAUACGUAGGGUGCGAGCGUUAAUCGGAAUUACUGGGCGUAAAGCGUGCGCAGGCGGUUUUGUAAGACAGGCGUGAAAUCCCCGGGCUCAACCUGGGAACUGCGUUUGUGACUGCAAGGCUAGAGUACGGCAGAGGGGGGUGGAAUUCCACGUGUAGCAGUGAAAUGCGUAGAGAUGUGGAGGAACACCAAUGGCGAAGGCAGCCCCCUGGGUCGAUACUGACGCUCAUGCACGAAAGCGUGGGUAGCAAACAGGAUUAGAUACCCUGGUAGUCCACGCCCUAAACUAUGUCAACUAGGUGUUGGGUGGGUAAAACCAUUUAGUACCGUAGCUAACGCGUGAAGUUGACCGCCUGGGGAGUACGGCCGCAAGGUUAAAACUCAAAGGAAUUGACGGGGACCCGCACAAGCGGUGGAUGAUGUGGAUUAAUUCGAUGCAACGCGAAAAACCUUACCUACCCUUGACAUGCCAGGAACUUGCCAGAGAUGGCUUGGUGCCCGAAAGGGAGCCUGGACACAGGUGCUGCAUGGCUGUCGUCAGCUCGUGUCGUGAGAUGUUGGGUUAAGUCCCGCAACGAGCGCAACCCUUGUCGUUAAUUGCCAUCAUUUAGUUGGGCACUUUAGCGAGACUGCCGGUGACAAACCGGAGGAAGGUGGGGAUGACGUCAAGUCCUCAUGGCCCUUAUGGGUAGGGCUUCACACGUCAUACAAUGGUCGGUACAAAGGGUCGCCAAGCCGCGAGGUGGAGCCAAUCCCAGAAAGCCGAUCGUAGUCCGGAUUGCAGGCUGCAACUCGCCUGCAUGAAGUCGGAAUCGCUAGUAAUCGUGGAUCAGCAUGUCACGGUGAAUACGUUCUCGGGUCUUGUACACACCGCCCGUCACACCAUGGGAGCGGGUUCCGCCAGAAGUAGGUAGCCUAACCGCAAGGAGGGCGCUUACCACGGCGGGGUUCGCGACUGGGGUGAAGUCGUAACAAGGCA
rnacentral:rRNA from 1 species